UCGUGAGAUUAAUCAAGUCUGAGAUACGGCCAUAUCAGUUGUUCUUUGUCUAUUUAGGUCAACGAACCAGUUGGAAGUGCGACACCUGCGCGUUCUCUUCUUACGUUUUUGUCUUUUGAUGCUCGCGUUGACAGCACAUAUCCACUAGAAUUGUUGAGAAAAGAAUGCAAAGUGGCGUGGCUCUCGUGUUGUGGACACUGCUGAUGUGCACACUUGCUCAGCAAGAAGACAGUCUGAAGGUGGUUGGCAAUGAUCUGGAGUACGACCUCUUUCGGAUGGACCAACCGCCUCCGAGUGUGGAUGCUUGCACGCGCGGGU